rnacentral:rRNA from 1 species
GAGCGCCCCGCAAGGGGAGCGGCAGACGGGUGAGUAACACGUGGGAAUCUACCCAUCCCUGCGGAACAACUCCGGGAAACUGGAGCUAAUACCGCAUACGCCCUACGGGGGAAAGAUUUAUCGGGGAUGGAUGAGCCCGCGUUGGAUUAGCUAGUUGGUGGGGUAAAGGCCUACCAAGGCGACGAUCCAUAGCUGGUCUGAGAGGAUGUCGCACAUGGGGUGAGAGGGCCGAAAKCCCUGCGGWAGRAGGGAGGAUAUUGGACGUGGCGCAAGAUGAUCCGGCAUGCGGCGGAUKAGGAGGGCUAGGGGUUGUAAGCCCUUUAACSAUGAGGAWAUGKGGUAGUCGGAAAAGAAGCCCCGGCAACUCGAGCCAGCRGCCGCGGUAUARAAGGGGGAAGGCGURGUUCGGAAAUCKGGGKGRAAAGCCCACGUAGSARGAAUUUAAAGUGGGGGGGGAAUCCGGCGCURGCUGCGGAACUACCUURAAAACCCGGAAAUCUGGAGUUUGGAAGAGGUUAGUGGAAUGGCAAGUGAGGAGGUAAAAAUCGUAGA